rnacentral:misc_RNA from 1 species
GAUGAAGAACGUAGCGAAAUGCGAUAAGUAGUGUGAAUUGCAGAAUUCAGUGAAUCAUCGAAUCUUUGAACGCACAUUGCGCCCCAUGGUAUUCCGUGGGGCAUGCCUGUUCGAGCGUCAUAUACCCCCUCAAGCUCCGCUUGGUGUUGGGCGUCUGUCCCGCUUCGCGCGCGGACUCGCCCCAAAGGUAUUGGCAGCGGUCGUGCCAGCUUCUCGCGCAGCACAUUGCGCUUCUCGAGGCACCGGUGGGCCCGCGUCCAUCAAGCUCACCCCCCCAGUUUGACCUCGGAUCAGGUAGGGAUACCCGCUGAACUUAAGCAUAUCAAUAAGCGGAGGA